rnacentral:rRNA from 1 species
AGAGUUUGAUCCUGGCUCAGAGCGAACGCUGGCGGCAGGCUUAACACAUGCAAGUCGAGCGGGCGUAGCAAUACGUCAGCGGCAGACGGGUGAGUAACGCGUGGGAACGUACCUUUUGGUUCGGAACAACACAGGGAAACUUGUGCUAAUACCGGAUAAGCCCUUACGGGGAAAGAUUUAUCGCCGAAAGAUCGGCCCGCGUCUGAUUAGCUAGUUGGUGAGGUAACGGCUCACCAAGGCGACGAUCAGUAGCUGGUCUGAGAGGAUGAUCAGCCACAUUGGGACUGAGACACGGCCCAAACUCCUACGGGAGGCAGCAGUGGGGAAUAUUGGACAAUGGGCGCAAGCCUGAUCCAGCCAUGCCGCGUGAGUGAUGAAGGCCCUAGGGUUGUAAA